AAUGAACGUUGGCGGCGUGGAUUAGGCAUGCAAGUCGAGCGAGAACCCCGCAAGGGGGGACCGCGGCGAAAGGGACAGUAAUGUGUAGAUUAUCUGCCCUCAGGUCCGGGAUAGCUGCGGGAAACUGCAGGUAAUACCGGAUAACAUCUCCGGAUCAAAGGUGUGAUUCCGCCUGAGGAUGAGUCUGCAUCCUAUUAGCUAGUUGGUGGGGUAAUGGCCUACCAAGGCAUUGAUGGGUAGCAGGUGUGAGAGCACGACCUGCGUCAUUGGGACUGAGACACUGCCCAGACACCUACGGGUGGCUGCAGUCGAGAAUCGUCGGCAAUGGGCGCAAGCCUGAACGAGCGACGCCGCGUGUGGGAUGAAUGCCUGCGGGUUGUAAACCACUGUCAGAGGGGAUGAAAUGCAGGUGGGUUCUCCCAUCUGUUUGACAUAGCCUCAGAGGAAGGACGGGCUAAGUUCGUG
rnacentral:rRNA from 1 species